GGCCGUGUAGUUCAGUGGUAGAAUGUUCCCCUCCUAAGGGAAAGGUCUUGGGUUCAAUACCCAACUCGGCUA